rnacentral:rRNA from 1 species
UACGUAGGUGGCAAGCGUUGUUCGGAAUUAUUGGGCGUAAAGCGCGCGUAGGCGGCUUUGUAAGUCAGAGGUGAAAGCCUGGAGCUCAACUCCAGAACUGCCUUUGAAACUACAUCGCUAGAAUCAUGGAGAGGUUAGUGGAAUUCCGAGUGUAGAGGUGAAAUUCGUAGAUAUUCGGAAGAACACCAGUGGCGAAGGCGACUAACUGGACAUGUAUUGACGCUGAGGUGCGGAAGCGUGGGGAGCAAACAGG